rnacentral:rRNA from 1 species
UACGUAGGUGGCAAGCGUUAUCCGGAAUUAUUGGGCGUAAAGCGCGCGUAGGCGGUUUCUUAAGUCUGAUGUGAAAGCCCACGGCUCAACCGUGGAGGGUCAUUGGAAACUGUUUCGCUUGAGUGCAGAAGAGGAGAGUGGAAUUCCAUGUGUAGCGGUGAAAUGCGCAGAGAUAUGGAGGAACACCAGUGGCGAAGGCGACUUUCUGGUCUGCAACUGACGCUGAUGUGCGAAAGCGUGGGGAUCAAACAGG